UGUUUUUUUUUCAUUUUUCGGAUCCUUUCUCUCUCUCUAACCUUUCCCUUUCUCUAUCUAUACUUAUACACAUAUAUGUGAAACAUAAUUCAAGCUUGGAUUUGAAGAGGUUAGAGUGGGAUUUGGCUAAGCUCAUAGAAGAGAAAGUUACUCUACUCAUCUUGGGCUUUCAUUUGAGACCACUCUUGCUUGCAUUUGGAGGGAUUUUGAAAUUGGGGCUAGAUAAGGCCUUGUUUGGCUAAGCAUCAUUAAUCGAGGUUAUGACGGAGACGUAGUCGAUGACGGACCCUCUCAUGUAUAACUAGGGCAGACGUUUGUUGUGGUUGGAAGAUUGUGGACAGUCGGAUUUUUUAUUUUUUAUUUUUUAUUUUAUUUUAUUUUUUUCUCACGCACCCAUUCACAAAAACCUUUUCAACCACACCUGGAUCAAACUCCCUCCUCUUUGCGGAAGGGGAGGUUAUGCCAUUGUGCUAGAUUGGAGAUUCAUAUUCUACUUAAUUUAUUAAGUAAAAUUUUCAUUGUCACAAGCACCAUAGGGCCCAAUAAACUAAUUUUAUUUUAAGAAAAAUUAGAUUUUAGUGACCAAAAUUAAAAAUAAUAACCUUAAAGCCAGCUUAAAGUUACAAAAAAAAUGAAUAGUCAUCAAUCUUUGAAACUAAAUUGCUCUUUAGUGGUAUCUCACCACAACAUCCGACACACUCUUACACCAAUCCCUCCCAAAACUCACACCCUGGUCCUUCAUCUUCUUUGUGUCGAUUCUCUUAUUCUUUGUCCUACCACUGCCAUCUCUGCGGCAAGGGAUCGACUCACUCAACGCCGCACGUCAAUCUCAAUAUUUUGGUCUUUUUCCAAGGGAUGCACUAUAAAUAUUAUAUAUAUAUAUAUAUAUAUAUUUUUUUUUUUUUUUUCAUUGGUAAGAAAUAUUAAUUGUGAAGGAGGAUUUGAUGCAGGAAACAAAUAAUAUAUAUGAAUCUUAAUGCAAAAAAUGGGGAGAAGCAUGGGAGGGAGAGUGAAAAAGGGUAUUUGUGGAAUGAAGUGGUUACGGAAGUGCAAUAUAGUUUUAAGAUUGAUGACUAUUUAGCUUCUUUUUUUUUUUUUUUUUAUGCAAAUUACUAAAAGCAUAUGUUCAUGUGUAAAUCAUGAAUGGUAAAUAAGCCGACCAUUUAACUUCUUA